rnacentral:misc_RNA from 1 species
CAGAGUUGAAAAACUCCCUAACCCUUUAUUUACAUACCUGUUCAGUUGCUUCGGCAGGCGGCCCCAGGGCGGGGCCUCCAGCCUGCUCACGCAGGUGCCUGCCGCUGGCGCAAAAAAACUCUGUUAUAUAUUACCACUCUGAGUCUAAAAACAAAUGAAUCA